rnacentral:rRNA from 1 species
GAUGAACGCUAGCGAUAGGCUUUAACACAUGCAAGUCGAGGGCAGCAUGGUCUUAGCUUGCUAAGACUGAUGGCGACCGGCGCACGGGUGCGUAACGCGUAUGCAACUUGCCUCACAGAGGGGGAUAACCCGUCGAAAGACGGACUAAUACCGCGUACACUUGGGAUAGGGCAUCCUAAUCCAAGGAAAAGAAAUUCGCUGUGAGAUAGGCAUGCGUCCCAUUAGCUAGUUGGUGAGGUAACGGCUCACCAAGGCAACGAUGGGUAGGGGAACUGAGAGGUUGAACCCCCACACUGGUACUGAGACACGGACCAGACUCCUACGGGAGGCAGCAGUGAGGAAUAUUGGUCAAUGGGCGAGAGCCUGAACCAGCCAAGUCGCGUGAAGGAUGACUGUCUUAUGGAUUGUAAACUUCUUUUGUAGGGGAAUAAAGAGGGGCACGUGUGCCUCAGUGAAUGUACCCUACGAAUAAGCAUCGGUAA